rnacentral:rRNA from 1 species
GACGAACGCUGGCGGCGUGCUUAACACAUGCAAGUCUAGGAGAAAGUUUUCUUCGGAAGUCGAGUAAACUGGCGAACGGGUGAGUAAUAUAUAAGUAAUCUACCCUUGGGAUGGGGAUAACGUCGAGAAAUUGGCGCUAAUACCAAAUAACGCAGCGGCACCGCAUGGUGAUGUUGUUAAAGGUGCUCGCACCGCCUGAGGAUGAGCUUGUAUUUGAUUAGUUUGUUGGUGAGGUAAUGGCUCACCAAGGCUACGAUCAAUAGCUGGUCUGAGAGGAUGAUCAGCCACACUGGAACUGAGGCACGGUCCAG